UACGUAGGGGGCAAGCGUUGUCCGGAUUUAUUGGGCGUAAAGAGCGUGUAGGCGGCUUUACAGGUCCGUUGUGAAAACUCGAGGCUCAACCUCGAGACGCCGGUGGAAACCGUAAGGCUAGAGUCCGGAAGAGGAGAGUGGAAUUCCUGGUGUAGCGGUGAAAUGCGCAGAUAUCAAGAGGAACACCCGUGGCGAAAGCGGCUCUCUGGGACGGUACUGACGCUGAGACGCGAAAGCGUGGGGAGCAAACAGG
rnacentral:rRNA from 1 species